rnacentral:tRNA from 1 species
CGGGGCGUAGCGCAGUCCGGUAGCGCACUUGACUGGGGGUCAAGAGGUCGCCGGUUCGAAUCCGGCCGCCCCGA